UGCAGUCGAGCGGACAGAUGGGAGCUUGCUCCCUGAUGUUAGCGGCGGACGGCCCUACCAACGUGGGUAACCUGCCUGUAAGACUGGGAUAACUCCCUUUAACCGGGGCUAAUACCGGAUGCUUGAUUGAACCGCAUGGUUCAAUUAUAAAAGGUGGCUUUUAGCUACCACUUACAGAUGGACCCGCGGCGCAUUAGCUAGUUGGUGAGGUAACGGCUCACCAAGGCAACGAUGCGUAGCCGACCUGAGAGGGUGAUCGGCCACACUGGGACUGAGACACGGCCCAGACUCCUACGGGAGGCAGCAGUAGGGAAUCUUCCGCAAUGGACGAAAGUCUGACGGAGCAACGCCGCGUGAGUGAUGAAGGUUUUCGGAUCGUAAAACUCUGUUGUUAGGGAAGAACAAGUACCGUUCGAAUAGGGCGGUACCUUGACGGUACCUAACCAGAAAGCCACGGCUAACUACGUGCCAGCAGCCGCGGUAAUACGUAGGUGGCAAGCGUUGUCCGGAAUUAUUGGGCGUAAAGCGCGCGCAGGCGGUUUCUUAAGUCUGAUGUGAAAGCCCCCGGCUCAACCGGGGAGGGUCAUUGGAAACUGGGGAACUUGAGUGCAGAAGAGGAGAGUGGAAUUCCACGUGUAGCGGUGAAAUGCGUAGAGAUGUGGAGGAACACCAGUGGCGAAGGCGACUCUCUGGUCUGUAACUGACGCUGAGGCGCGAAAGCGUGGGGAGCGAACAGGAUUAGAUACCCUGGUAGUCCACGCCGUAAACGAUGAGUGCUAAGUGUUAGAGGGUUUCCGCCCUUUAGUGCUGCAGCAAACGCAUUAAGCACUCC
rnacentral:rRNA from 1 species